rnacentral:rRNA from 1 species
CCUACGGGAGGCAGCAGUGGGGAAUAUUGGGCAAUGGGCGCAAGCCUGACCCAGCAACGCCGCGUGAAGGAAGAAGGCUUUCGGGUUGUAAACUUCUUUUCUCAGGGACGAAGAAAGUGACGGUACCUGAGGAAUAAGCCACGGCUAACUACGUGCCAGCAGCCGCGGUAAUACGUAGGUGGCAAGCGUUAUCCGGAUUUAGUGGGUGUAAAGGGCGUGUAGGCGGGAGCGCAAGUCAGAUGUGAAAUCUCAGGGCUCAACCCUGAGCCUGCAUUUGAAACUGUGUUUCUUGAGUGCUGGGGAGGCAAUCGGAAUUCCGUGUGUAGCGGUGAAAUGCGUAGAUAUACGGAGGAACACCAGUGGCGAAGGCAGAUUGCUGGACAGUAACUGACGCUGAGGCGCGAAAGCGUGGGGAGCAAACAGGAUUAGAUACCCGAGUAGUC